ACCCGUUUUGGCCAAGAAUAUAUUUCGCAUGGCCUAACCCACCAUCAUAACCAAAAUCAAUUAUCUCUACGAACAUACAUUUCUGGUUCAAAUAUCACCAUACAUAGUCAACACAAUACUCUUCACAUAUUUAACUGCCUAGCAUCAUUAUACAUCCUCUGUAUCCGCCUUAAAUAUUCCCCCAACACAUGAAAGCCAAAAACACCCCUCUUAUCCCACACACUUGAUCCCUGCACCUCUCUGACGUCACACCCCUCAAUGCACAAAGUCCUUCCCGACUUCACGUCGGGUCCUUUCCCAGCCUACAGCACCCAGAAGCCAGCGCGGCCGCAGCGCGGCGUCCUGAAUGCCUUGGAAUGUCAUGUUCGUGUGUGCGCUGGAAUACUAUGUUUGUGCUAACGUGCUAAUAAAAGGGUGUUUGUGAA